CCAAUAGCGUAUAUUAAAGUUGUUGCAGUUAAAAAGCUCGUAGUUGAAUUUCGGGAUUUAUCCGUUGGUCGGGCUUUUGGGUCUGUACUGGCGUGAUGGAUUUCUACCUUCUGAAUAACCGGCAUGUCAUUAAUUUGGUGCGCCGGGGAAGCAGGACUGUUACCUUGAAAAAAUUAGAGUGCUUAAAGCAGGCUAUUGCCUGAAUACAUUAGCAUGGAAUAAUGAAAUAGGACGGCAUGGUUCUAUUUUGUUGGUUUCUAGGAUCACCGUAAUGAUUAAUAGGGAUAGUUGGGGGCAUUAGUAUUCAAUUGUCAGAGGUGAAAUUCUUGGAUUUAUUGAAGACUAACUUCUGCGAAAGCAUUUGCCAAGGAUGUUUUCAUUAAUCAAGAACGAAAGUUAGGGGAUCGAAGACGAUCAGAUACCGUCGUAGUCUUAACCAUAAACUAUGCCGACUAGGGAUCGGACGAUGUUAAUUUUUUAAUGACUCGUUCGGCGCCUUACG
rnacentral:rRNA from 1 species